CGGAGGAUCCAAGCGUUUAUCCGGAUUCAUUGGGUUUAAAGGUGCGUAGGCGGGUAUAGUAAGUCAGUGGUGAAAACCUGCAGCUUAACUGCAGAACUGCCAUUGAUACUGCUAACCUAGAGUACAGCUGAUGUGGGCGGAAUGUGUCGUGUAGCGGUGAAAUGCUUAGAUAUGACACAGAACACCGAUUGCGAAGGCAGCUCACAAAACUGUAACUGACGCUGAGGCACGAAAGCGUGGGGAUCGAACAGGAUUAGAUACCCUGGUAGUCCACGCCGUAAACGAUGAUCACUCGAUGUUGGCGAUAUACUGUCAGCGUCCAAGCGAAAGCGAUAAGUGAUCCACCUGGGGAGUACGAUCGCAAGAUUG
rnacentral:rRNA from 1 species